GUUUUGAUUGUAGUGCAUUUCCGAUGAUUUUUCCCAACUAAAUUUCUAAAAAUGUUGCAGAUGAAGAAGCCUCCUCUUCUUAAAGUGCCGCCGCUGUCCCACCGAGACUCAAAGGUGAGCGACUGCUUUCUUCUGAACUCACCGUUUAAGCGUCAGGAUUUUGAUGAUAUUGUCAUGGAUGUCUCCAGAGCUUGGAAGAUGACGAGUUCCCUCGGAAGGGUGCAGAUCUGUUCAAGGCGGGAGACGUGGAGCUGGCGGAGGACGCAGGCUGGGAGGAAUACACGCCGACUGAAGACAUGAAGGAGUUUCCUGAAGAGUUUCUGGAUCCUCCAGGGGCCACGGCUGG
rnacentral:lncRNA from 1 species